AGGAUAAAAACUGGGGGGUGUUAGAAGUUAAUCGCUCAGAAUGUCAUCGCAAGAUUGACAAUCUAAGCGAAAAACGGACAAAACCAACUCUGGAUCAAUAAACUGAGAUCGUCCACAACUCUCGAGUUGGAUCGCAGUGAAAGGCAAA
rfam:Marine metagenome 1096626214065, whole genome shotgun sequence.